rnacentral:ncRNA from 1 species
GGCUGAUGAACCACCAGUGUCGCUGUUCAGGCGGAGGCAUUAAACCACCAAAUGGUGCUAAGGUAAAGAGCCUUGGUGCUGAGCGAUUUGGAAAAGUUAUACCAUGAGUAUAACAGGU